rnacentral:rRNA from 1 species
CCUACGGGCGGCAGCAGUGGGGAAUAUUGGACAAUGGGGGGAACCCUGAUCCAGCCAUGCCGCGUGUGUGAAGAAGGCCCUCGGGUUGUAAAGCACUUUCAGUGAGGAAGAACGCCUGGUGGUUAAUACCCAUCAGGAAAGACAUCACUCACAGAAGAAGCACCGGCUAACUCCGUGCCAGCAGCCGCGGUAAUACGGAGGGUGCGAGCGUUAAUCGGAAUUACUGGGCGUAAAGCGCGCGUAGGUGGCUUGAUAAGCCGGUUGUGAAAGCCCCGGGCUCAACCUGGGAACGGCAUCCGGAACUGUCAAGCUGGAGUGCAGGAGAGGAAGGUAGAAUUCCCGGUGGAGCGGUGAAAUGCGUAGAGAUCGGGAGGAAUACCAGUGGCGAAGGCGGCCUUCUGGACUGACACUGACACUGAGGUGCGAAAGCGUGGGUAGCAAACAGGAUUAGAUACCCUGGUAGUC